rnacentral:rRNA from 1 species
GUGCUUGCAUCUUGAUUUAAUUUUGAACGAGUGGCGGACGGGUGAGUAACACGUGGGUAACCUGCCCUUAAGUGGGGGAUAACAUUUGGAAACAGAUGCUAAUACCGCAUAAAUCCAAGAACCGCAUGGUUCUUGGCUGAAAGAUGGCGUAAGCUAUCGCUUUUGGAUGGACCCGCGGCGUAUUAGCUAGUUGGUGAGGUAACGGCUCACCAAGGCAAUGAUACGUAGCCGAACUGAGAGGUUGAUCGGCCACAUUGGGACUGAGACACGGCCCAAACUCCUACGGGAGGCAGCAGUAGGGAAUCUUCCACAAUGGACGCAAGUCUGAUGGAGCAACGCCGCGUGAGUGAAGAAGGCUUUCGGGUCGUAAAACUCUGUUGUUGGAGAAGAAUGGUCGGCAGAGUAACUGUUGUCGGCGUGACGGUAUCCAACCAGAAAGCCACGGCUAACUACGUGCCAGCAGCCGCGGUAAUACGUAGGUGGCAAGCGUUAUCCGGAUUUAUUGGGCGUAAAGCGAGCGCAGGCGGUUUUUUAAGUCUGAUGUGAAAGCCCUCGGCUUAACCGAGGAAGUGCAUCGGAAACUGGGAAACUUGAGUGCAGAAGAGGACAGUGGAACUCCAUGUGUAGCGGUGAAAUGCGUAGAUAUAUGGAAGAACACCAGUGGCGAAGGCGGCUGUCUGGUCUGUAACUGACGCUGAGGCUCGAAAGCAUGGGUAGCGAACAGGAUUAGAUACCCUGGUAGUCCAUGCCGUAAACGAUGAAUGCUAGGUGUUGGAGGGUUUCCGCCCUUCAGUGCCGCAGCUAACGCAUUAAGCAUUCCGCCUGGGGAGUACGACCGCAAGGUUGAAACUCAAAGGAAUUGACGGGGGCCCGCACAAGCGGUGGAGCAUGUGGUUUAAUUCGAAGCAACGCGAAGAACCUUACCAGGUCUUGACAUCUUUUGAUCACCUGAGAGAUCAGGUUUCCCCUUCGGGGGCAAAAUGACAGGUGGUGCAUGGUUGUCGUCAGCUCGUGUCGUGAGAUGUUGGGUUAAGUCCCGCAACGAGCGCAACCCUUAUGACUAGUUGCCAGCAUUUAGUUGGGCACUCUAGUAAGACUGCCGGUGACAAACCGGAGGAAGGUGGGGAUGACGUCAAAUCAUCAUGCCCCUUAUGACCUGGGCUACACACGUGCUACAAUGGAUGGUACAACGAGUUGCGAGACCGCGAGGUCAAGCUAAUCUCUUAAAGCCAUUCUCAGUUCGGACUGUAGGCUGCAACUCGCCUACACGAAGUCGGAAUCGCUAGUAAUCGCGGAUCAGCACGCCGCGGUGAAUACGUUCCCGGGCCUUGUACACACCGCCCGUCACACCAUGAGAGUUUGUAACACCCGAAGCCGGUG